UGAGGAAUAUUGGUCAAUGGGCGCAGGCCUGAACCAGCCAAGUAGCGUGAAGGAUGACUGCCCUAUGGGUUGUAAACUUCUUUUAUAAAGGAAUAAAGUCGGGUAUGUAUACCCGUUUGCAUGUACUUUAUGAAUAAGGAUCGGCUAACUCCGUGCCAGCAGCCGCGGUAAUACGGAGGAUCCGAGCGUUAUCCGGAUUUAUUGGGUUUAAAGGGAGCGUAGAUGGAUGUUUAAGUCAGUUGUGAAAGUUUGCGGCUCAACCGUAAAAUUGCAGUUGAUACUGGAUAUCUUGAGUGCAGUUGA
rnacentral:rRNA from 1 species